rnacentral:rRNA from 1 species
UUGAACGCUGGCGGAAUGCUUUACACAUGCAAGUCGAGCGGCAGCGCGGGGCAACCUGGCGGCGAGCGGCGAACGGGUGAGUAACAUAUCGGAACGUACCCUAUCGUGGGGGAUAACACAUCGAAAGAUGUGCUAAUACCGCAUACGACCUGAGGGUGAAAGCGGGGGAUCGCAAGACCUCGCGCGACAGGAGCGGCCGAUAUCGGAUUAGCUAGUUGGUGAGGUAAAGGCUCACCAAGGCGACGAUCCGUAGCUGGUCUGAGAGGACGACCAGCCACACUGGAACUGAGACACGGUCCAGACUCCUACGGGAGGCAGCAGUGGGGAAUUUUGGACAAUGGGGGCAACCCUGAUCCAGCCAUUCCGCGUGAGUGAAGAAGGCCUUCGGGUUGUAAAACUCUUUCGGCAGGAACGAAACGGUGAGCUCUAACAUAGCUUGCUAAUGACGGUACCUGAAGAAGAAGCACCGGCUAACUACGU